CACAGGACUUAAUGGACCUAAAUUUCUGGAAGAAACAGGUAGAUAUUAGGAAAACGUUUUCCAACACAAAAAUACAGUAGAUGAGACUUUCUGGUCAGGAUCUGAGUCUCCGUGGCUGGUCUUUAAUAGCAGGUCAGGCAAAUAUUGAUCAGUUAUGACCCUGGCAAAACCACCGUGAUGCCAGAGCUGGCUGUGUGACUGCUGAAGGCAGCCUCGUCAGGGCCCUGGGAAGUGUGAGGGGGCUGCACGUGGGGCACCAACCCCAGGCAGCGCUACAGGCUUGGGGCAGAGUGGCUGGAAAGCUGUGCAGAGGAAAAGGAUCUGAGGGUGCUGACUGAUGCUCGCCUGAACACGAGCCAGCAGCGUGCCCAGGUGGCCAAGAAGGCCAGCGGCAUCCUGGCUUGUGUCAGGAAUGGUGCAGCCAGCAGGAGCAGGGAGGUGAUCGUCCCCCUGUGCUCUGCUCUGGUGAGGCCGCACCUCGAGCACUGUGUUCAGCUUUGGGCCCCUCACUACCAGAAGGACAUCAAGGCCCUGGAGUGUGUCCAGAGCAGGGCUAUGAAGCUGGAGGUGUUUAAAAGAUAUUGAAAUCAUGUCACUAAGCUCUGCAUCUAGGGGAGGGCUGGUUAGUGUUAGGUCAGAGGUUGGACUAGGUGAUCUGGGAGGUCUCUUCCAACCUAAAUGAUUCGGUGGAAGAUUAAGCGAUAUGAUUUUAUAGGCUAAAGAACCAUUGAAAAGAGAAAGAGGUGGGUAAGCUUUUCAAAUCAAUGCUGAACAAUUAAAGCGUUCUGAUUAUGGAUGGGUUUGCAUUGACCACUUGUCCCUUUUAUGUAUAUGUUCUCAUAGGGUUUUAGAAGCAUCAUCAUGUUUUGUGGUUUUUUUUUUUUUCCCCUCUUAGGAUCCCCUUCUCAGCCUAGGCAGAGAGUGCACUUGCCGAACUGGUGUUUGUUCACUGUUGGUUGUGCUUCUCAGAAUCAGUCCCUGUACGUUUUCUACUGCACACUGUCUGUAUCUUGCUCUGAAGAUUCCACAGUAAGAACAGGAUCUGAUCCGUGUGGAGAUGAAUCUGCUUGCUCUCCACCCAGGACUGCCCAGGACCUCCUGCGGCAGGCUGUCUCGUGUGUUUAGGCACAACCUGACACAGUUCAGGAACACAGAAAUGGACUAGCAACAGAAACAGACCUGUGAGGACUUGAGACUUGUGUCCACCCUUCGAAGCCUUGCUACCAGUACUAGUCAUUAACAAAUUAUAAACUAUGAUACGCUGGAGCUUGAAUGUUGAUCUUGUGCAUCUCUUUGUAUAGUAGAAGGCCCAAGUCCGCAGUAGGCUCCCUUGAGGUAUAGUCUGAUGGGUAAUAUGCUGUUUGCCAUUUUUCUGCCUUGGAGCGGAGCGGGUCAGAUGACUGCUUCCCAUCUCAAUUUUCCAUGCUGUGGGGUUGAUGAGACCUUACCUUUGUGAGACAAUUUAGACUUUAAAUGCUCUGCAUUAUAAUAAUAAGGAGCCAAAGUGCGUUAUAGUGCUUCUUGUCUGCCUUUGUUAUUAAAUCAGUUGCUGGGAGGCCAAAGUGAGCUUCUGAUUUUAAUGUUGUGCUGCUAAACUUCGACAUUACCUCCUCCUUCCUUUUUUUUUUUUUCCUGGUUAAGAGUGGAAAUGUGUCCAAAUCCACUCCAAAAAUAGCACCUUGAAUUUAAAACUUGAUUUACCUUUCCAUUUUGAAGAGUACGCGCAGCACUUGCAGCCUGAUCUUUCUAUUCCUUUCAAUCUAACCACAAGCCUUUUAUCUGUGAAUGCAUUUUAAUUACAGUGGAAAUAAGAGGCUUUAGGAGGUGAAACUGCUGUCAUUUCAGCCACAUUCACCUGCCUGGUGCAGCACGCAGAGAAUAUCCUUGUCAAGAGGAAGCUUUGCUCUUGGAAUUGAUUUAUAAAUAGACUUCCAGGAUGUGAACCUCCCAUAUACUUUGAGGAAAUUGGCAUACACCUGAGCUGCACUGAAAGAUGGCCUUGCCGUGAAUUUCUUAUGACUCCGUAGACACGUUUUUUGGACUUUCAAUAGAAAACUCCGUGAGUAAUGGGUGCGUAGCUGAGUAAUGAACAACUGUGUUAAUUUUCUGGUAGGAAAGCCACAGCAUAUGAAGACCUUGGCUCUUUAUGUGAGCUGCCAUUCCACAUAAACUUUUACAGGUACUGGUCGCACUGUUAAGUUUCCAUACAUGCUUGAACACAUAAGUUUUUCCUUGUGGAGGAAUCCUUGGUCUUUUUAGUUCAUCACCCCUGUAUAACAAGUGCUAAUAGCACUCAGUCAUUUCACAGGUGUGUCACAAGGACAUAUAUCAGAGGCAUUUGGUUAUAGGGCUGGGAGUGCAUGCAUUCCUUUGUACAGCAGGGUGACAGUGUACGUGGAUGGAAGACACUGAUCAUUCUCAGGAUCUGGGCCAAGGCUUGGCAUAGAGGUGGACUCCAGCUCUCUGUAGUGAUCCUGCUGUGGGAUGAACACUUGAGAAAGUUGUGACUGGGAGAAGGUGGCAUUUUUGUCCUUUAACAGCUCCUCCUUCCAAAAGCAUCCUGCCUUUUCAGCUGUAGUGAAACCAGGAGUCUGGGAGCACUGGAAGCCCUGUGGUCCCUGCUCCGAGGAGGCUUCAGUUGCUGAAUUCUCAGUGGAGUAGUGGAAGUUUGGGCUGGAUUUGGAGUAGAGCUGUUUUCCAGUCGUUCAUCUAUCUCUGAAGGGUGACAGGGUAGAGACUUCAGGAUUAACGAAUCCAGUUUGGAACUUAAAGUUGAUACCAUUUUGUUCAAAUACUUGGAUUAUGUGUUUUUUCUCUAAAUAAAGUAUAUGUUUCUUGUUGAUACUUUGAAAAA
rnacentral:lncRNA from 1 species